AUGAUGGCAGUUGGAAUAACAGGGACUGGAAAGUUCAGAAGAAGCUUCGGAAAUAAAAUCAAGAGAAUGAAGUUUUUGUUAUUGUUUUUUAACGUGGGGAUGAGAAAAACUUUCUUUUGGUCUUCAGAUAAAGAAAAGCCAAGACACUGGACAUUGAUUUCCUCUUGCAUUUUAUUUGAAGUGAAUUCACGAUGGUGGAUGGGAAAACUAGAGCCAGAAAUCUUUGCCCUGAGCACAAACCAAAGCAAAAUCAAAGCCUUUCUGAGAGUACACUUCACAAAAUAUUUCUUAUGAAUGAUGGAGAAAAAACAGAAGCUUGGACACAGGGCCUGCUUUGUAUAAAGGAAUGCUUCACUUGGUAAUUUAUUUUUCUUAAAUUUCUCCUUAAUCCUGUUUCAAUAUGCUAAUCUCCCUUGUUUCUUCAUCAGGCCUGCUUUAGAAUUGUUU
rnacentral:lncRNA from 1 species